CAGUGUCAUUGGGGGCUAUUAUAGGACUUGGAAUCGGAGUUCCAGUACUUGCAGUUAUUGCCGUUGUCAUAUUCGUCUUUGUAAAGAAACGGUCCAUUGCCAAACCAACGGAAGCCUUUAACAUCGAAUAUGUUAAUCAAACUGUUGGAUCUUCAAAAAGGACGAACAGAGACAUUGAACGCAACAUUGAGAAUUCAUACGAAACGCUUGAUGCCAGAACGACAGCAGAUGCUAAGGAUGACUAUGAGCAAUUGCCAGCGGGACAACAAUUAACAAGUAACUCUGCAGAAUACGGGAAUGUUGAAGAUGAUCUCGUACAUUAUCAGAACAUUUAAACUUCGAAAACUGACAAGCAAACAAAAUAAAUUCUAAGAAAUAUUUCAACUUGUCCGAAGGGACAUAAAUGCCUUCAAAACUGCGUAGGGAAUGGGUUCCUUACUUUCCUCGCUCAGUGUAGUGAACUUAUUUUAAACGGCGUGAAUAAACUGGUCAGAAGAUACACCUGUGAAUCUUACUAUGAUAGAUUUUAACCUGCCCGAUAUACUAGAUCUACGAUUCACAGUAUGUUAAAACAGUGAACAUUAUUAUGCCUCAAGACUUGUCACUAAGUUAAGAAUUUAUCUUGACCUGCCCUUUAAGAAAUCGUUGAUAUAAUAGGCAGGACAUUUCAAGACAUCGGCGUCAAACAAAAUGUUUAAAAUUGAACAAUAUGUUUAGAAUUAUGUAGACAUGACUUUUAGUAACUCCUGGAUAUAAAAUGCAAUAGUUAAGAUAACCAUGUCACUUAAUUUCGUUGUAUUGUUUUAUUUUUCUUUAGAAAUGAACACUUUGUUUACACUUUCGUCGACUUACUAAUAGUCUCUUUCUCUCUCUCUCUCUCUCUCUCUC